UUGCCAGUCAGUCUCCUGGCUGGAGUCCAGCUCUAAGCUGGUUCCAGGCUCUAGCCAGGACCUGACUACAAC
rfam:Mus musculus chromosome 7, GRC primary reference assembly.